AUUAAGAUGGCAGAACAGUGCAAAGAAUUUAAGCUUCUUUUAGAGAAAUAAGUUAUAGUGUUUCUUCUUAAUA
rnacentral:tRNA from 1 species